rnacentral:rRNA from 1 species
UGGGGAAUUUUGGACAAUGGGGGAAACCCUGAUCCAGCCAUCCCGCGUGUGCGAUGAAGGCCUUCGGGUUGUAAAGCACUUUUGGCAGGAAAGAAACGUCGCGGGUUAAUACCCCGCGGAACUGACGGUACCUGCAGAAUAAGCACCGGCUAACUACGUGCCAGCAGCCGCGGUAAUACGUAGGGUGCAAGCGUUAAUCGGAAUUACUGGGCGUAAAGCGUGCGCAGGCGGUUCGGAAAGAAAGAUGUGAAAUCCCAGAGCUUAACUUUGGAACUGCAUUUUUAACUACCGGGCUAGAGUGUGUCAGAGGGAGGUGGAAUUCCGCGUGUAGCAGUGAAAUGCGUAGAUAUGCGGAGGAACACCGAUGGCGAAGGCAGCCUCCUGGGAUAACACUGACGCUCAUGCACGAAAGCGUGGGGAGCAAACAGGAUUAGAUACCCUGGUAGUCCACGCCCUAAACGAUGUCAACUAGCUGUUGGGGUCUUCGGACCUUGGUAGCGCAGCUAACGCGUGAAGUUGACCGCCUGGGGAGUACGGUCGCAAGAUUAAAAACUCAAAUGAAUUGAC